UGAAUGUUUCUUGUCUUUUUUUUUCUUUUCUUUUUUUUUCUUUUUUUUCUUUUUUGAAAAAAUGAUACAAAAUA
rnacentral:ribozyme from 1 species